UUUGGUAUAGCACUGCCCUCUUGGAUUGUUGAUAAGAAUAACUUGUUAUGGGUUUUAGGUGCAUAUGUGUUGAUAUUUAUUAUCAGACUCCUUAUCAUUGUUGUAAGUUAUCAUUAGUGUUGUUAUGGUUACAGUUAUGCCCCGCCCCUCAGGGUAGUUGGUGGUAUCAAUCAGUAAAGUAUGGUAGCACUAAUAUAUUGAUACAGCCGAGUAAACUAUGCUUCCACCUGCUGUCCAGAGCCAAGACAAUGCCUGUACUAAUGAAUGAAUUAAUAAAUGAUAAUGACACAUGUACUGGUACACAGGAGUGCUGAUGAUCCUGGCUACAGCAGUUGAGUUCUCUCCCAGUAAUCAGGCCGGAGUGAAGAACAGACCCAGUGAUGAUAUAUACUUGAAUGAGCUGGUGAAGAAACUAGAACACACCAUGAGAGUGGACACCAGAGAGCAACCAUUCUAUCAGGCCUACAUAGCUAAAGCAAGACUGCUUAUACACGCCUAGUUUGAGUGAAUACCAUUACAAGACCCUGGACUGAAACAAGUUGAGUUAUGCUGAUAUGUUGAAGAGUGUUGAUCCAUUACGUGAAGAAUUGAAAGAUUUGGAAACCAAAGCUGAGGAAAUUUGUCAAAAGGAGAAAAAAUAACAAAAAUAAUAGCAGAACUUGAAGCCUCUAUAGCAAAAUAUAAAGAAGAUUAUGCAAUGCUCAUUUCUGAUGCUAAUGUUUUUAAAAACGAUUUAUCAACUUUUUGAGAAAAAAAGGUUAAUAGGAGCAAGGCACUACUGACCAGUCUCAGUGGAGAGAGAGAGAGAGUGUUGGAACACAGGGAGUGAAACAUUCAAGACUCAAAUGUCUACAAUCAGUGGAGAUGUAUUGCUGAUGUCAGCAUUCAUGGUGUAUGGAGGUUACUUUGAUCAACAGUUUCGUCACAGUCUCUUCAACUCUUGGGCCACUCACCUCCAGGAGGCUAGGAUAUCUUUUAGCCUGAUCUAGCAAGAGUUGAAAGGUUUGAUCAUUACUGUGAGUACAAGAGGACUCCCAAUGGAGUUGUGAUGGCUCCUUCUCAACUCGGAAAGUGGCUGGUUCUCUUCUCUGACGAGAUUAACCUUCCAGACCUUGACAAAUAUGGUACACAAAGAGUAAUAUCGUUCUUACGUCAGAUUGUCAAGCACGGCAGAUUUUACAGGACCUUUGAUCACACGUGGGUGACAAUAGAGAGGAUACAGUUUGUAGGAGCGUGUAACCCACCGACUGACCGGGGAAGGAAACCACUGUCUCACAGGUACAGUAUGCUGUAGUGGG